UAUAUUCAUUUAGAGUUUGGUGAUUCAAAUUUUUUGAUUUUUCAAGAUGCUGAGAUUUUUUUAACUUACCCUUGCGAUGUUCAUUGGGUCUUCUCGAAAUACUUUAACUUAUUAUUGCAAGCAUUAUUAGAUAGGUUUCAUACAAGCGUUUUGGAACUUCGCUGCUCACCUCAUUCGCCACUCAAGUCUAGCUCUUGCAAACUUCGAUGAUACUGAUUGCUGAUUAUUGAAAAUCUCUUAAAGAAUUUUCUUUGCAGGCUCUGGACAUGCUUCGUGGCGGGGACUCUUCUGUAGAUGCUCAUGCACUAGAAUCAUUCGUCUAAGAGUUGCGGUUACAACAUUUCAGGUGUCAAAUAAUGGAAAUGUUGUCUCUGAUCCAGUAUGCAAGGUCUCUAACAACGACUAAAUUUUUCAUGUUAAAGAAGACACCGAAAACAUGGGAGGCGCAUAAAUUAUUUAAGAAACUUCGCUGGUAAAGCCCUAUGAUAAUUUGGUUUGGUUCAAGCUGUGGUUCUUCAUCUUCUACAUUUAUCCUAUUCCAGAACUGACAAAAGUAUAUGCUUAGCUGAAAAUUAGAAUAAAAUCUCGCCGAGAUGAUCAAUUCAGUUCUGGAAUCAAACGUGCCAUAAAUAGUGGUGAACGAGAAGCACCAAAUUUGACCAAGCUUGGUUCUAAUUGAACUACUGAGCUUCACCCUGAAUAUGAUUAUGAUGAAUCCAAAGCCACUACUGUGCCACUUGCUAGUGUUAUGACUAGGGUCAUUUUGAUCAUGGUAUAACAAAAACUCAUCAGAAAUCCCAACACUUACUCGAGUCUCAUUGGUCUCAGCUAGUCUCUAGUAUCUUUCAGGUUCUUCAUCAUCUUGGUCAAGAUGAGAAUUCGUCCUCAUCGUAUGAUCAUCCUCUCAAAACCACAAUAAUUUGUUGCAUUCUGAUUACUCACUGUAAGAGAUUGUAACAUUCUGUUUCUAUAUGCAAUCCUUAGAAGCUCAAACAAACAUAGUUUCACUA